UCCACGAUCCUCAUCCUUCUUCUUCGCUCAGGAUCUCUCUUUCUAUAUAACCUUUAUUUACCAGAUUUGACACAUAAACAUCAAAAAAAUCUCUCAUUCGAUCCCAAUAAACCCUCUACUUCCUCUGUUUGAAAACCCUAAUUCAAAAUUGGGUUAGUUUAUACAGGGCGAGGAAGAUGGAGUGUAGAAGAUGAUCGGAGCAAAAGUCUAAGCCAAAGUUAACAGAGAACAAUACAAUGAAAGGGAGACUCUUCAACUCCACUGCAUCCUCUUGACGGGAAGAAAACAUGCAAAACUCUGAAAGAUGUUAGAUGGUAUAGUCAUGUCUGAUGUAUCAAAUUCCUCAUCAAUUACGGGUGAGAAGAGAUAGAAAACAGAGUGAUUCUGAAAACAGAUGGUCAAACACGAGAACAUAACACAAGCACCAGAGUGAUUCUGGUUUUUUCAAAUCAAACCCUUCACGCCACAUACAUUUUUGAGUAUUGAUCAUGUUGUAAUACAUGGUUUGGUGGGAAACAUUUUCGGUUGAAGAAUAUAUGAACCACUUCAAUGGAACAAAUCGUGAUUACUAAAUUGUUAGAUCGUGACCAACUCAAGCAACAAAGUUAGACAUAAGAACUCUUGGAGAAUACCUGGGAAGUAACAACAAAACAGAAGAAUUAUUAUGCAUAAGAUCUACAGCGUUAAGGUUCUCAAACAUUUUUGUAUCAAGCCGUUGAAUCUGGUUCGAAGUGUGAAAUCUCUAGACCAUCCACCAUGUUUCCGAUCGCAGACACAAUUGUUUCUUUUCUUACUCGCCAAGAUUCGUGGGUAAUAUUAAGAUGAGAGAAGUCCAAAAGUGAAGUUUGCCGGAAGAAAACAAACUUAUCGAAAAGAAGAGUUCUCAGUGUGAUUGUUUUACACUUUUACUUCUACACGUGUACUUAUUCUCUACAUCCCACCUAAUUAUAUUAGCUGUCUCUUUUUUUCUCCCUCUCUUAAACGUUUUUUCAUGAAAUUUAAUUUAAGUAUUCUUCUCAAAUUCUCUUAAAUGUUUAGGCUUUUGUAAAAAAUUUCAAUUAUUAAUAUUUAGUUAAGUAUCAAAUAUUACGUCCGUGCAUAGCACGGGCCAUCGU